GCCAGACAUGGUGGUGCGUGUCUGUAAUCCCAGCUACUCAGGAGGCUGAGGCAGGAGGAUUGCUUGAACCCAGGAGGCGGAGGUUGCAGUGAGCCGAGAUUGUACCACUGCACUCCAGCCUGGGUGACAGAGCAAGACUCCGUCUCAA
rnacentral:SRP_RNA from 1 species